GGGCUAGCCUAGGAAUUUAUACGCACCAUAGCGGCAGCACAUGUAAUUUGCAGCCAGGGUCAGUCUAGUAACUCUCCGUUGGCUUGCGAGCUAGGAAAAAAACAAAUUCUGGUCAGGCCAAUCCCAUCGUGUAUCGAGAGUCUGGCGGGCGGGCCUUAUGGCUGC